GUAGUCUCGCACAGAUGCAUAUCAAUAAGCGGAGGAAAAGAAACUAACAAGGAUUCCCCUAGUAACGGCGAGUGAAGCGGGAAGAGCUCAAAUUUGAAAUCUUAAAGGGUUUCCCUUUACGAAUUGUAGUUUAAAGAAGUGUUUUCUGUUGAGGUUUUGGUAAAAGUUCUUUGGAAUAGGACAUCAUAGAGGGUGAGAAUCCCGUAUUUGACCUUUACUUUCAACUUUGUGAUACACUUUCAAAGAGUCGGAUUGUUUGGGAAUGCAGUCCAAAAUGGGUGGUAAAUUUCAUCUAAAGCUAAAUAUUGGCGAGAGACCGAUAGCGAACAAGUACCGUGAGGGAAAGAUGAAAAGAACUUUGAAAAGAGAGUUAAACAGUACGUGAAAUUGUCAAAAGGGAAGCGUUUGACACCAGUGUUGUUUUUCUGAAAAUCAAUUAAAGAACUGUUUAUGCUAAGUUGUUUAGACUUUAUCAGCUAUCUGCUUAGUUUUGAGCUUUUCUUUAAUGCACUUUUCAGUUAACAAGUCAACAGUCAAUUUCUUUUGCUGUAAAAAAGCUUGAGGAAGGUGGCUUGAGAUUCGUCUUAAGUGUUUAUAGCCUCUUGCCUAUGCAGUCGGAGAGAUUGAGGUCUGCAGCGUAGAUCCUUCGGGGCUAAAUGCAUUUGUGCUAAGUUAUAGCAUUUUAUUAGACAACUUGUUGACUAUGAUUUGUCUUGUAGCUUACUCGCUUAUGUUAUUUUACCUACGCUUAGGAUGUUGACGCAUGAGAUAUACGC
rnacentral:rRNA from 1 species